AGAUAAUAGAUACCCCGGUAGUCCUGGCCGUAAACGAUGGGCACUGGGUAGGGGGGCGUCGCCGAUGGGCUCCCUGCCGUAGGGAAAAACCGGUGAAAGUGCCCCGCCCUGGGGAGUAUGGUCGCAAGGCUGAAACUCAAAGGAAUUGACGGGGGCGUCACACAAGCGGUGGAGCAUGUGGCUUAAUUCGAGGCUACGCGCAAACCUUAUCCUGGGCUUGACAUGCACGGAUUAGCCGGCGGAAACGUCGGUGAGGCCGCGAGGUACAACGUGCACAGGUGCUGCAUGGCUGUCGUCAGCUCGUGUCGUGA
rnacentral:rRNA from 1 species